AUUGAACGCUGGCGGCAUGCCUUACACAUGCAAGUCGAACGGUAACAGGUCUUCGGAUGCUGACGAGUGGCGAACGGGUGAGUAAUACAUCGGAACGUGCCUAGUAGUGGGGGAUAACUACUCGAAAGAGUGGCUAAUACCGCAUGAGAUCUACGGAUGAAAGCAGGGGAUCGCAAGACCUUGUGCUACUAGAGCGGCCGAUGGCAGAUUAGGUAGUUGGUGGGAUAAAAGCUUACCAAGCCGACGAUCUGUAGCUGGUCUGAGAGGACGAUCAGCAACGCUGGGACUGAGACACGGCCCAGACUCCUACGGGAGGCAGCAGUGGGGAAUUUUGGACAAUGGGCGAAAGCCUGAUCCAGCAAUGCCGCGUGCAGGAUGAAGGCCUUCGGGUUGUAAACUGCUUUUGUACGGAACGAAAAGCCCCGGGUUAAUACCCUGGGGUCAUGACGGUACCGUAAGAAUAAGCACCGGCUAACUACGUGCCAGCCGCCGCAGUAA
rnacentral:rRNA from 1 species